rnacentral:rRNA from 1 species
UACAGAGGGGGCAAGCGUUAUUCGGAAUUAUUGGGCGUAAAGGGCGCGUAGGCGGCUAUUCAAGUGGCGGGUGAAAUCCCUCGGCUUAACCGAGGAACUGCCUGCCAGACUGGAUGGCUUGAGACCGGGAGAGGUGAGUGGAAUUCCUAGUGUAGAGGUGAAAUUCGUAGAUAUUAGGAAGAACACCAGUGGCGAAGGCGGCUCACUGGUCCGGUACUGACGCUGAGGUGCGAAAGCGUGGGGAGCAAACAGG